rnacentral:rRNA from 1 species
UACGUAGGGGGCAAGCGUUGUCCGGAUUUACUGGGCGUAAAGAGCGCGUAGGCGGAAGCUUAAGUGUGGCCUGAAAGCCCCCGGCUCAACCGGGGAAGGUGGCUGCAAACUGGGCUUCUUGAGGGGGAUAGGGGAAAGUGGAAUUCCGGGUGUAGCGGUGAAAUGCGUAGAUAUCGGGAGGAACACCUGUGGCGAAGGCGGCCCCCUGGUUGGAUACUGACGCUGAUACGCGAAAGCGUGGGGAGCAAACAGG